rnacentral:rRNA from 1 species
GACAGAGGUCUCGAGCGUUAGGCGGAAUCACUGGGCUUAAAGCGUGUGUAGGCGGACUUCUAAGUACCUUGUGAAAUCCCACGGCUUAACCGUGGAACUGCUGGGUAUACUGGUUGUCUUGGGCCAUCUAGGGGCUACUGGAACAAACGGUGGAGCGGUGAAAUGCGUAGAUAUCGUUUGGAACGCCAAUGGUGAAAACAAGUAGCUGGGGAUGUGCCGACGGCUGAGACACGAAAGCCAGGGAGCGAACGGG